rnacentral:rRNA from 1 species
AGAUGCUUUGGUGCCUUCGGGAACUCUGAGACAGGUGCUGCAUGGCUGUCGUCAGCUCGUGUUGUGAAAUGUUGGGUUAAGUCCCGCAACGAGCGCAACCCUUAUCCUUUGUUGCCAGCGGUUCGGNCGGGAACUCAAAGGAGACUGCCAGUGAUAAACUGGAGGAAGGUGGGGAUGACGUCAAGUCAUCAUGGCCCUUACGAGUAGGGCUACACACGUGCUACAAUGGCAUAUACAAAGAGAAGCGACCUCGCGAGAGCAAGCGGACCUCAUAAAGUAUGUCGUAGUCCGGAUUGGAGUCUGCAACUCGACUCCAUGAAGUCGGAAUCGCUAGUAAUCGUAGAUCAGAAUGCUACGGUGAAUACGUUCCCGGGCCUUGUACACACCGA